rnacentral:rRNA from 1 species
CCUACGGGAGGCAGCAGUGAGGAAUAUUGGUCAAUGGACGUAAGUCUGAACCAGCCAAGUAGCGUGAAGGAUGACUGCCCUAUGGGUUGUAAACUUCUUUUAUAUGGGAAUAAAGUGUUCCACGUGUGGGUUUUUGUAUGUACCAUAUGAAUAAGGAUCGGCUAACUCCGUGCCAGCAGCCGCGGUAAUACGGAGGAUCCGAGCGUUAUCCGGAUUUAUUGGGUUUAAAGGGAGCGUAGGUGGAUUGUUAAGUCAGUUGUGAAAGUUUGCGGCUCAACCGUAAAAUUGCAGUUGAAACUGGCAGUCGUGAGUACAGUAGAGGUGGGCGGAAUGCGUGGUGUAGCGGUGAAAUGCUUAGAUAUCACGAAGAACUCCGAUUGCGAAGGCAGCUUACUGGACUGCAACUGACACUGAGGCUCGAAAGUGUGGGUAUCAAACAGGAUUAGAUACCCCUGUAGUC